GACGAACGCUGGCGGCGUGCUUAACACAUGCCAGUCGAGCGGAAAGGCCACUUCGGUGGUCCUCGAGCGGCGCACGGGUGAGUAACACGUGAGUAAUCUGCCCCUCACUUUGGGAUAGCCACCGGAAACGGUGAUUAAUACCGGAUAUGACCAUAUGUCGCAUGGCGUGUGGUGGAAAGUUUUUCGGUGAGGGAUGUGCUCGCGGCCUAUCAGCUUGAUGGUGAGGUAAUGGCUCACCAUGGCUUCGACGGGUAGCCGGCCUGAGAGGGUGACCGGUCACACUGGGACUGAGACACGGCCCAGACUCCUACGGGAGGCAGCAGUGGGGAAUAUUGGACAAUGGGCGGAAGCCUGAUCCAGCAACGCCGCGUGAGGGAUGACGGCCUUCGGGUUGUAAACCUCUUUCAGUACCGACGAAGCGCAAGUGACGGUAGGUACAGAAGAAGCACCGGCCAACUACGUG
rnacentral:rRNA from 1 species